CGUCUAUGAAAUUAUCUCUAGUAUGUGUUCUCAUGUGUCUAUGUAAAUUAUCUCUAAUAUGUGUUUGUUUUCAUAUGUCUAUGUAAAUUAUCACUACAUGUAGUAUGAGUUCUCGUGUAAAUUUUCACUGUAGUGCAGGACAGGAUAAACCUUUACGCAUGCAAAGUUCUAUAUUUGAAAUAAAGAUAAAUUCUGCACACAAUUUUCACAAAGACUAAUGGGCAAAAAAGACAACAAUGGCGGUAGAACAAAAUAAUUUCUCUAUCUCAUCUAUCUAUUACACCUACACCAUUGCCUAAACAGUGUUUAAUCCCGGU
rnacentral:lncRNA from 1 species